UGAUGACCACUAAUGAGAUACUCUUUAUCUCCAACUUAGACUUUAGGGUUUGUCAAGCAAGAAAAGCUUAACUUUGUUGAACUUCCUUAAUAUUGCACACCUCACUUUUAGGACCUAUAGGGGAGAUGUUGACAAUCCCAUCAAUGCCAACAUCCUAAACACUGGUUGUGAGAACAAAUACUCUACCAAUACUACAAUCAAGUGAACCUUUAGUUGACUUGAUAAACUUAUGUACCAAAUAAAAAUAAUGAUAAAACACCAAGAGGUUUUCUUGCAGUAUAAAUGCUGUAUUUGGGGAUGGUGUUCAGGAACCGCUUUCCACAACGUAUGUUUGUGUUCAUGUUUGCAUAUCAAAAUUUUUGCCCUGCAGUUGAAAUGAAGAAGCCUGCUCUCCUCUCUGCAGUCCUGCUGCUGCUGUUUUUUGUUGGGACAUCAGCUCAGGGUAACACUAACUUCAAAGUGCAGGUGAAUGUGUCACCCAAGAACAUUAAGACCUACAGCACUUCUACUGCUUAUAGAGGAAGCCUCUUCGGUGGACUGACGAGACUGAAAUACUCAAACCAAGGCUUCAACUUUCAGUACAUACCAAAUGAUGACUAUGGACCAUUCCUUCAGAGUGUAAAUGGUUUGGCAGGAAAUUCAUCAUACUACUGGCAACUGCUGAGUGGUAAAACCCCACUCGAUGUUGGUAUGGGAUGUUACCUUCCAACAGCAAAUGAAGUCGUCACCCUGAAAUACACGAAAAUUUAA
rnacentral:lncRNA from 1 species